rnacentral:rRNA from 1 species
GAUGAACGCUGGCGGCGUGCUUAACACAUGCAAGUCGAACGGAAAGGCUCCUGCUUGCAGGGGUACUCGAGUGGCGAACGGGUGAGUAACACGUGGGUGAUCUGCCCUGCACUUCGGGUAAGCCUGGGAAACUGGGUCUAAUACCGGAUAGGACGAUGGUUUGGAUGCCAUUGUGGAAAGUUUUUCGGUGUGGGAUGAGCUCGCGGCCUAUCAGCUUGUUGGUGGGGUAAUGGCCUACCAAGGCGUCGACGGGUAGCCGGCCUGAGAGGGUGUACGGCCACAUUGGGACUGAGAUACGGCCCAGACUCCUACGGGAGGCAGCAGUGGGGAAUAUUGCACAAUGGGCGCAAGCCUGAUGCAGCGACGCCGCGUGGGGGAUGACGGCCUUCGGGUUGUAAACUCCUUUCGCUAGGGACGAAGCGCAAGUGACGGUACCUGGAGAAGAAGCACCGGCUAACUACGUG